AUUGAACGCUGGCGGCAUGCCUUACACAUGCAAGUCGAACGGCAGCACGGACUUCGGUCUGGUGGCGAGUGGCGAACGGGUGAGUAAUGUAUCGGAACGUACCUUUCAGUGGGGGAUAACGUAGCGAAAGUUACGCUAAUACCGCAUAUUCUGUGAGCAGGAAAGCAGGGGAUCGCAAGACCUUGCGCUGAUUGAGCGGCCGAUAUCAGAUUAGCUAGUUGGUGGGGUAAAGGCCUACCAAGGCGACGAUCUGUAGCGGGUCUGAGAGGAUGAUCCGCCACACUGGAACUGAGACACGGUCCAGACUCCUACGGGAGGCAGCAGUGGGGAAUUUUGGACAAUGGGGGCAACCCUGAUCCAGCCAUGCCGCGUGAGUGAAGAAGGCCUUCGGGUUGUAAAGCUCUUUCGGCCGGGAAGAAAUCGCAUGGGCUAAUACCCUGUGUGGAUGACGGUACCGGAAUAAGAAGCACCGGCUAACUACGUGCCAGCAGCCGCGGUAAUACGUAGGGUGCGAGCGUUAAUCGGAAUUACUGGGCGUAAAGCGUGCGCAGGCGGUUUAGUAAGACAGGCGUGAAAUCCCCGGGCUCAACCUGGGAACUGCGCUUGUGACUGCUAAGCUAGAGUACGGCAGAGGGGGGUGGAAUUCCACGUGUAGCAGUGAAAUGCGUAGAGAUGUGGAGGAACACCGAUGGCGAAGGCAGCCCCCUGGGCCGAUACUGACGCUCAUGCACGAAAGCGUGGGUAGCAAACAGGAUUAGAUACCCUGGUAGUCCACGCCCUAAACGAUGUCAACUAGGUGUUGGGUGGGUAAAACCAUUUAGUACCGUAGCUAACGCG
rnacentral:rRNA from 1 species